GAUGUGAGGUGGGAGGUUUGGAGUAGUCGAAUAGAGGAGUUUAUAAAGACUACGGUUUGUGUUGGAUCUUUAUAUAUAAGAGUUUAAAUGGUAUUUGUAUAUAUAUUGCAUCAAAUUCGAAAUGCAACAUAUUAUUAUUUAUAUACAAUCUAAAUCUACUUCAAAUUUUUUUUCUCAAAUCUAUAUCUAUUUUAAAUUUUAAUUAAAUUAAAUAAAAUCUAUCCUAUUC
rnacentral:lncRNA from 1 species